AGAGUUUGAUCAUGGCUCAGAUUGAACGCUGGCGGCAGGCCUAACACAUGCAAGUCGAACGGUAACAGGAAACAGCUUGCUGUUUCGCUGACGAGUGGCGGACGGGUGAGUAAUGUCUGGGAAACUGCCUGAUGGAGGGGGAUAACUACUGGAAACGGUAGCUAAUACCGCAUAACGUCGCAAGACCAAAGAGGGGGACCUUCGGGCCUCUUGCCAUCGGAUGUGCCCAGAUGGGAUUAGCUAGUAGGUGGGGUAACGGCUCACCUAGGCGACGAUCCCUAGCUGGUCUGAGAGGAUGACCAGCCACACUGGAACUGAGACACGGUCCAGACUCCUACGGGAGGCAGCAGUGGGGAAUAUUGCACAAUGGGCGCAAGCCUGAUGCAGCCAUGCCGCGUGUAUGAAGAAGGCCUUCGGGUUGUAAAGUACUUUCAGCGGGGAGGAAGGGAGUAAAGUUAAUACCUUUGCUCAUUGACGUUACCCGCAGAAGAAGCACCGGCUAACUCCGUGCCAGCAGCCGCGGUAAUACGGAGGGUGCAAGCGUUAAUCGGAAUUACUGGGCGUAAAGCGCACGCAGGCGGUUUGUUAAGUCAGAUGUGAAAUCCCCGGGCUCAACCUGGGAACUGCAUCUGAUACUGGCAAGCUUGAGUCUCGUAGAGGGGGGUAGAAUUCCAGGUGUAGCGGUGAAAUGCGUAGAGAUCUGGAGGAAUACCGGUGGCGAAGGCGGCCCCCUGGACGAAGACUGACGCUCAGGUGCGAAAGCGUGGGGAGCAAACAGGAUUAGAUACCCUGGUAGUCCACGCCGUAAACGAUGUCGACUUGGAGGUUGUGCCCUUGAGGCGUGGCUUCCGGAGCUAACGCGUUAAGUCGACCGCCUGGGGAGUACGGCCGCAAGGUUAAAACUCAAAUGAAUUGACGGGGGCCCGCACAAGCGGUGGAGCAUGUGGUUUAAUUCGAUGCAACGCGAAGAACCUUACCUGGUCUUGACAUCCACGGAAGUUUUCAGAGAUGAGAAUGUGCCUUCGGGAGCCGUGAGACAGGUGCUGCAUGGCUGUCGUCAGCUCGUGUUGUGAAAUGUUGGGUUAAGUCCCGCAACGAGCGCAACCCUUAUCCUUUGUUGCCAGCGGUCCGGCCGGGAACUCAAAGGAGACUGCCAGUGAUAAACUGGAGGAAGGUGGGGAUGACGUCAAGUCAUCAUGGCCCUUACGACCAGGGCUACACACGUGCUCAAUGGCGCAUACAAAGAGAAGCGACCUCGCGAGAGCAAGCGGACCUCAUAAAGUGCGUCGUAGUCCGGAUUGGAGUCUGCAACUCGACUCCAUGAAGUCGGAAUCGCUAGUAAUCGUGGAUCAGAAUGCCACGGUGAAUACGUUCCCGGGCCUUGUACACACCGCCCGUCACACCAUGGGAGUGGGUUGCAAAAGAAGUAGGUAGCUUAACCUUCGGGAGGGCGCUUACCACUUUGUGAUUCAUGACUGGGGUGAAGUCGUAACAAGGUAACCGUAGGGGAACCUGCGGUUGGAUCACCU
rnacentral:rRNA from 1 species